UUCUCUACAACUCAAUUGAACAAAUUUAUCUAUAAAUUGAUGAUCAAAUCCGAUACAACAUCUCUAAAAAGACUCAUUUAGCUAUAUUUCAACCUCUAAAUAUGGGUGGAAAAGUAAUUGCUUUCCUUAACAUUUUGGUCUUAAUAGUUCUCAUAAUGUCUACCCAUGUAGCUGUUGCUAGGGAACUUGCAGAGACCCCCAAUACCAAAAACUUGGCGAAAAAGAAGUCAUCACCCAUCAUCUAUAAAACAAUCCCACGCCGCCGCGAGUGUAAGUACAAGAAUAAAUGCAGCCGCGGUGGCAGAGGCAGGCCUCCUCUGGCCCAAACCGAACCCUGAGUAUCAAUGCCCGAAUAACCGAUGCUUGUAUCACAAAUAUUAAUCAAUUCCAAAUAAAAUAUUCCAAACUGUACUAGUGUGUUUAUGAAUAUAGACGAUAUAUGUAAUUUUAAGUGUGUUUCAGUUAACGGAGACUCUUGUCUAUUUCAUCA